UGAAGGUUGGUGCAAUGGUUAGCAAUGUGCUUUAGAGAGUAACAGUCGUGAGUUCGAAUCCCCAUACCCUCAG